rnacentral:rRNA from 1 species
AGAGUUUGAUCAUGGCUCAGAUUGAACGCUGGCGGCAGGCCUAACACAUGCAAGUCGAGCGGUAGCACAGAGAGCUUGCUCUCGGGUGACGAGCGGCGGACGGGUGAGUAAUGUCUGGGAAACUGCCUGAUGGAGGGGGAUAACUACUGGAAACGGUAGCUAAUACCGCAUAAUGUCGCAAGACCAAAGUGGGGGACCUUCGGGCCUCAUGCCAUCAGAUGUGCCCAGAUGGGAUUAGCUGGUAGGUGGGGUAACGGCUCACCUAGGCGACGAUCCCUAGCUGGUCUGAGAGGAUGACCAGCCACACUGGAACUGAGACACGGUCCAGACUCCUACGGGAGGCAGCAGUGGGGAAUAUUGCACAAUGGGCGCAAGCCUGAUGCAGCCAUGCCGCGUGUGUGAAGAAGGCCUUCGGGUUGUAAAGCACUUUCAGCGGGGAGGAAGGCGGUGAGGUUAAUAACCUCAUCGAUUGACGUUACCCGCAGAAGAAGCACCGGCUAACUCCGUGCCAGCAGCCGCGGUAAUACGGAGGGUGCAAGCGUUAAUCGGAAUUACUGGGCGUAAAGCGCACGCAGGCGGUCUGUCAAGUCGGAUGUGAAAUCCCCGGGCUCAACCUGGGAACUGCAUUCGAAACUGGCAGGCUAGAGUCUUGUAGAGGGGGGUAGAAUUCCAGGUGUAGCGGUGAAAUGCGUAGAGAUCUGGAGGAAUACCGGUGGCGAAGGCGGCCCCCUGGACAAAGACUGACGCUCAGGUGCGAAAGCGUGGGGAGCAAACAGGAUUAGAUACCCUGGUAGUCCACGCUGUAAACGAUGUCGAUUUGGAGGUUGUGCCCUUGAGGCGUGGCUUCCGGAGCUAACGCGUUAAAUCGACCGCCUGGGGAGUACGGCCGCAAGGUUAAAACUCAAAUGAAUUGACGGGGGCCCGCACAAGCGGUGGAGCAUGUGGUUUAAUUCGAUGCAACGCGAAGAACCUUACCUGGUCUUGACAUCCACAGAACUUUCCAGAGAUGGAUUGGUGCCUUCGGGAACUGUGAGACAGGUGCUGCAUGGCUGUCGUCAGCUCGUGUUGUGAAAUGUUGGGUUAAGUCCCGCAACGAGCGCAACCCUUAUCCUUUGUUGCCAGCGGUUAGGCCGGGAACUCAAAGGAGACUGCCAGUGAUAAACUGGAGGAAGGUGGGGAUGACGUCAAGUCAUCAUGGCCCUUACGACCAGGGCUACACACGUGCUACAAUGGCAUAUACAAAGAGAAGCGACCUCGCGAGAGCAAGCGGACCUCAUAAAGUAUGUCGUAGUCCGGAUUGGAGUCUGCAACUCGACUCCAUGAAGUCGGAAUCGCUAGUAAUCGUAGAUCAGAAUGCUACGGUGAAUACGUUCCCGGGCCUUGUACACACCGCCCGUCACACCAUGGGAGUGGGUUGCAAAAGAAGUAGGUAGCUUAACCUUCGGGAGGGCGCUUACCACUUUGUGAUUCAUGACUGGGGUGAAGUCGUAACAAGGUAACCGUAGGGGAACCUGCGGUUGGAUCACCUCCUU